rnacentral:rRNA from 1 species
CCUACGGGAGGCAGCAGUGGGGAAUAUUGGACAAUGGGGGAAACCCUGAUCCAGCCAUGCCGCGUGUGUGAAGAAGGCCCUCGGGUUGUAAAGCACUUUCAGCGAGGAAGAACGCCUAGCGGUUAAUACCCGCUAGGAAAGACAUCACUCGCAGAAGAAGCACCGGCUAACUCCGUGCCAGCAGCCGCGGUAAUACGGAGGGUGCAAGCGUUAAUCGGAAUUACUGGGCGUAAAGCGCGCGUAGGUGGCUUGAUAAGCCGGUUGUGAAAGCCCCGGGCUCAACCUGGGAACGGCAUCCGGAACUGUCAAGCUAGAGUGCAGGAGAGGAAGGUAGAAUUCCCGGUGUAGCGGUGAAAUGCGUAGAGAUCGGGAGGAAUACCAGUGGCGAAGGCGGCCUUCUGGACUGACACUGACACUGAGGUGCGAAAGCGUGGGUAGCAAACAGGAUUAGAUACCCUGGUAGUCCACGCCGUAAACGAUGUCGACCAGCCGUUGGGUGCCUAGCGCACUUUGUGGCGAAGUUAACGCGAUAAGUCGACCGCCUGGGGAGUACGGCCGCAAGGUUAAAACUCAAAUGAAUUGACGG